AUUGAACGCUGGCGGCAGGCCUAACACAUGCAAGUCGAACGAGUGGCGGACGGGUGAGUAAUGUCUGGGAAACUGCCUGAUGGAGGGGGAUCACUCCUGGAAACGGUAGCUAAUACCGCAUACCAUCAGAUGUGCCCAGGUGGGAUUAGCUAGUUGGGGGGGUAACGGCUCACCAAGGAGACGAUCCCUAGCUGGGCUGAGAGGAUGACCAGCCACACUGGAAAGGCGAAACGGUCCAGACUCCUACGGGAGGCAGCAGGGGGGAAUAUUGGACAAUGGGCGAAAGCCUGAUCCAGCCAUGCCGCGUGUGUGAAGAAGGCCUUCGGAUUGUAAAGCACUUUAAGUUGGGAGGCGUUACCAGCAGAAUAAGCACCGGCUAACUUCGUGCCAGCAGCCGCGGUAAUUC
rnacentral:rRNA from 1 species